UGACAGAAGGCACACCGCUGGGCUUCCCACC
rnacentral:sRNA from 1 species